CCUCGCAGCCCCUGGGGAUGGUUGGGGAGGGGGCGUAGGGCCCUCUGUACCGUCCUUCCUCCUCCCGGGGAGAGGCGGGGGUAGCUCUGGGUGUACCGCGGCAGCGGAAGAAGGCCCCUAGCCCAGCGGCCGCCUGAUAAGCGUCUCCCCCUCCCCCAACUACGGGCAUCCACGUGCUUCACAUUCUUGGACGUCUGGGAGCGGGCGGAGGUGUGAGUGGCGGAGAUUGGUGGGAGACAGAUGGGGAGCCACAUCCUGUGCACCCCCCUUGUCCUCUAAUGCACCGAAAUGAGGGCUCUGGGGAGGGAGGCAAUGUCCCUAGGGCCCUGCAGAACCCAGGCCACCUCCUCCCAGAGCCAACCUGCUCUUCCCACCUUCAGUGGCAGUAAAGGGGAGAGUGGAGAAUUCCCCAAGAGGGGGCUGGAGGCAGCUCCAGUCACCAGCGGACUUCCACACACCCAAGGGGACCCUUCCAAGGUGGUGGCAUUGGCCCCACAUAUUCUAGACUGAGUCUAGUUGCCACCCUCAGACUCCGGGUCCUUCCUGUGCCUCAAGGCAAGCCCCCAGACCCCCAUCACUCCCAACCUCACAGCCUCAGGACCCGAGUCCACUGACACCUCACUCACUUAUAUAUGCACACCCACGCUCAGACUACGGGAACUGGAAACCCAGGCCUCUAGGUCUACUACCCCACCCCAGAAUGGAUGUGGGGACAGGUCUCCACUUCCCCAUGUCCAGUGGUUUAGGGGAAGGGCUCACCAAUACACUGCCUGUCCUACUCUCUGUGAUCCUCCUCCCUCUCCAGUUCUGGGCCAGGAAGAGCUGAGCUGUCCCCAUGGGCUAAGAAGAGACAGGGGCUGGAGACCAAGGUCUCAGAUCCCAGCUUCUCUCCAGCCCUCUGGAGAAGGUGGCCAAGGCAGUGGAAGGGGUGACUCUGGCAGCCCUGCUCCAACUAUCCCCCUAGGGGAGGGGGGUCUUGCUCCAGCACUGGGAGAAUGAGAAAAAGGGUCCUAGAGUCAUCCUCUCACUCUCUCUUCUUCCAAAGUCAAGGGUGAUACCUUCCCUCUUGUGUCUACAGCCACACAGCAGAUUCGGCCCUAGAGGAAAUGGUCGGGGGCAGGACAAUAGGAAAAGCUGGGAUAGAAGUGGCUCUGGGAGGGCAGAGGUGGGCUGUCUGUCCAUCUCAGGUCUCUCUUCUCCCAGCAAGAGGGGUGGGGCAAGAGGUCCGAGCUGGGAAGUCCUGCGCGCCGCCCCCGUCACUCAGCCGGCGGCGCCAUCCGAGCAGAGCAGCUGGGGGAGAGGAGACGUCCCCUCGCCCCGACUGGUGACCCGGGCAGGGGGCGCCCCCUGCCCUGAAGUCCCCGCGUCUAAGUCCGCCGGCCGCUCCGCCAGUCCCGGUGAAAAGCAGGGAAGUUGUGUGUGCUGGGAGGGGGGGUCCGUCGGCUCUCCCAGGGAAGCCUGGCGGGGCCCGGGAACUCAGCGGCUUCACCUCGAGGGGACUCCCGUCUAGAGUCUCGUGGCGUCCGAGGCAGAGUACAGCGGCUCCCCAAGUCCGCAGGCCGGGGGCGGGAUCAGCGCGGGGCUGGGGGUCAACGAGCACUUCCUCCUCCCAGCCGGGGAUCCGGGGCUUCUCCAGGGAUUCUCCGUGGCGAGGAUUCCGGGUGGGGGUGGGGAUCCCGCGCGGUUCCGCCCCCGCCAGGCCAGGGGCAGCUGGCGACUCGCUCGGUCUCUGGUGGUACGCGCCACGGCCCCCCCACCCCAGCUCUGCGCGCCCCCUCCCCUCCGGGCACCACCCCCUUUCCACCGCCCCGCCCCGUCCAGGCACCGCCCCUGGCUUAACCCAUUCCCGGCGCGUCCGGCUGCAGCGGGAGAAACGCAGGGAACCGAGAGGGAGAGGCGGCAUGUGGACAGGCCGGGCCUCAUUUGCCUAAUGCAAUGCGGCUGAACUCUCGCUGAACUCGCCUGGCGGCGCCUCACCUCCGAGUGACCCACCCACCGCUGCCCGUGACAUCACCCGCUCGCCAGCCCGCCCGCGGGGCUCGCCCGCCAGCCCCCUGCCCGGCCGAACCGGGCCACCUCCCCCGGAGACGCGGAGAGCGGCGGCAGGAGGCGUAGGGCCGGGUCGCGCGGGGCCAAGUGUUUGGCACCCGGGUGUGACAUUGUGCAGCUCGGACGCUGUGUCGGAAUGAGACACCGGCUUGUGUCAUUGUCUGUGACAUCAUGUGUGACUCCGGCCGCCGGAACCCGACGCGGCAGCGCGGGUGCUGUUGGCACAAACACAGGCAGAGGGGGCCCUCCUCCCCACGCUCUGCGUGCUUCCGGCGAGCAAAGCCCCGCCCAAGGUGUCUCCUAGCUGGGGAACCAGUACCGGCCCCUGGUGCACUGUCCAGCUCUGGAGAGAUAAAAGGAAGAGCUGGUGCCUUCCAGUGGACUACUUCAUCCUAGAAGCCCUCGGGAUGCACGUUUCACUGGAAGAAAGGCCUAGCUUGGGUAGGUCCCUAGAAAGAGGGGAUACCCCUGGAGGAGGGGGUAUCCUAUUACCCCCACUCUCUAAAAGGAAGGAUGGAAAUGUACAUGCUACCCAAGGACAUUCUUCUAGAAGAAGCCUGGCUCUUUAUAUAUGUUGUCAUUUUAUCCUCACAGCAACUCCAAGAGAUGUUUUACAAAUAAAACAGGUCUCAGCAAGGCUAUGUGGGUUGUCCAAGAUCACAUUACUAAUAAUAAAGAGUAGAGCAGGUAUUUGAACUUCCUGCUGCCAAAGCCCAUGUUCUUACCAAGCUAGGCCAAUUCAAGGUAUUUUUCUGAGCACCUUCUAUGUGGACACCCUGGGGAACCUGCCCUUGUAGACCUUAGGGAGCAACAGCCAUUAAGCAAAUAAUCACUGUAUGCACACACAAUUGCAAACUGAGAUAAAUGCUAUUAUGCUCUGAAGAAUUAACAUAGGUACCUAAUUUAGGUUUAACUAAAUUAGGGAAGAACUCAAAUAAAACAGACCUACCAUAAGAGAAAGUUUGUAAGUUAAUCAGGCAAAGAGUAGAAAGGAGUGUAGUUCCAGUUAAAGGGCGAGUCUGUGCAAAGGCCCUGGGGUUACAGCAGUUGAUGAGUUCAUUGAAGGAACUGGCAGAAGGCUAGAAUCAUGGGGCACAAAAUUCAAAAGGAAAAGGUACACAAGACCAGGCUAGAGAGGUGGGCUCAGGCCAGACCAGGGGGGCUUAUAGGCCUCAGUAAGGCUUUUGGAUUUUAUCCUAAAUGCAAGGAAAAGCCAUAGAAAGGUUCCAAGCAAAGGAAAGAUCAGAUUUACAGUGUAAAAAGAUCUUUCCAGUAGUUGUGUGAAGAAUGGAUUAUAGGAGGGCAAGAGAGACCAGGUAAAAGCUACUGCAGCAGUCCAGGCAUCAGACAAGGGUGGCUUGGCCUAGGAAACUGGAAGUGCUGAUGGACAGAGGAAGGUGGAUUCAAUAAACAUUUUAAAGG
rnacentral:lncRNA from 1 species